UACGCAGGGUGCAAGCGUUGUCCGGAAUUAUUGGGCGUAAAGAGCUCGUAGGCGGUCUGUUGCGUCGGCUGUGAAAACCCGAGGCUCAACCUCGGGCCUGCAGCCGAUACGGGCAGACUAGAGUUCGGCAGGGGAGACUGGAAUUCCUGGUGUAGCGGCGAAAUGCGCAGAUAUCAGGAGGAACACCGGUGGCGAAGGCGGGUCUCUGGGCCGAUACUGACGCUGGAGGAGCGAAAGCGUGGGGAGCGAACAGG
rnacentral:rRNA from 1 species